CAGUCGCCGCGGGAAUACGAAGGGUGCAAGCGUUAAUCGGAAUUACUGGGCGUAAAGCGCACGCAGGCGGUCUGUCAAGUCAGAUGUGAAAUCCCCGGGCUUAACCUGGGAACUGCAUUUGAAACUGGCAGGCUAGAGUCUUGUCAGAGGAUGGUGGAAUUCCCGGUGUAGCGGUGAAAUGCGUAGAGAUCGGGAGGAACAUCAGUGGCGAAGGCGGCCAUCUGGGACAACACUGACGCUGAGGCACGAAAGCGUGGGGAGCAAACAGGAUUAGAGACCCCGGUAGUCCCUGUCUCUUAUA
rnacentral:rRNA from 1 species